rnacentral:piRNA from 1 species
UGUCCCGCAGCGAGUGAGGUUGGUGGCA